UUCACUUCGCAGUGUUGUGAUCACUUGCGCACAAAAUUUCACAGCACUUGGAGAGAUAUUGUUUCCAAAAAGAAGUGUCAAUCCUGUCUCACGUUACCAUGGUGCAGCAUGUUUUGAUAUUUCUUGUUCUUGUUGUACUUGUGCAUGCAACCGAGGCUCGCCCGAGGCUCAACCUUGGAGAAGCUUUCAAGUUUAUCAAAGAGUCUGAAAUUCCUGUUGCCGAUGCUAAAAGCUUGGAGGUGUCCAGUCUAAAUGAAAGUCACGACGAAGGACCAAACAAAGGCGGGAAUUUGAGGCGUGAUUUUCGGCUUUGUCGAUUCCUCCCAAUAUGUUCGAGUGGCUAGCAAGCUCAAGGACUAGCAGCGAUUACGACUGUACGACGGCCCAUGACGCACAGUUCAAGAUGUAGAGUAUUGUCAUAAAGUGCUGUUAACAUUUACAAGUAUAAUUGCAUAUUAGUUAAAAAAUUGUAAUAAAAUCAAAAAGGAAACACCCAGAAAUUUGUUAUGUUGUCAACUCUUCCUCAGAGCAGUUGCUGACCAAAACUGCAGUGGAGAAAUUAUAGGGGAAAAAAAAAAAA